UUGUAAAAUUUAAUUUUUUUUUAAAUUUAAUAGGUUAAUUAUUUAUUUUUAAAUAAAGUUAUAUUAAAUAAGAUAAAGUUUUAGUAUUUAUUUAAAAUUAAUUUUAUGAUUUUUUAAUGUGAGUGACUAGGUGAAAUAUAUUAAAAUAUUUAUAAAUUAUAAAGUAAAAUUAGUUUUUUGUACCUUUUGUAUCAGGGAUUUUUAAAAAAAUAUUAAGUAAUUUAAUAUUCUCGAAUUAAUUAGAGUUAACAUAAUAUAUAAGUUAGUGUGAAAUUACUAUUUAUAAUUUUAUGUUAGAGGAGAAAUUCUAGUCAAUAAUUAAGAUAUCUAGUUUUUUUAGAAAUGAAUUUAAUUUAUUUAUUAAAUUUUAAAAUUAAUUUUUAUUUUAAUUAAUUAAGUUUAAUAAAAAGAAUUUAAGGGAUUAGCUUUGAAUUUUAACUAAAAUUUAAUAUUUAUUAAUAUUAAUAAUGUAUAAAUUUAGAAAUGAUUUUUAAUUUAAGUAUUUAAUAAUUUAUUAUAGAAAAGUAUAAAUUAAAUUUGAUUUAAUAAUUUAGUUAUUUAUAAAAAUAAUAUGUUUAAUUUAAUAACUUAUUUAAUAAUGAAAAUAUUAUUAUAAUUUAAUUAUAGUUUUUAACUAUUUAUAAUUUGUAUUAAUUUAUUAAAAUUAUUUACUAAUAAAAUAUGAUUAUAAGGAACUAGACAAAAAUAAGUAUUUACCUGUUUAACAAAAACAUGUCUUUUUGAAAAUAAUUUAAAGUCUAAUCUGCCCACUGAAAUUUUUAAAUGGCCGCGGUAUUUUGACCGUGCAAAGGUAGCAUAAUCAUUAGUUUUUUAAUUGAAAGCUUGUAUGAACGAUUGAAUAAGAUACUAAUUGUCUCAUAAUUAUUUAUUAUAAAAUUUAAUUUUUGAGUUAAAAAGCUUAAAUAUUAUUAGAGGACGAGAAGACCCUAUAGAUUUUUAUAAAAUAAUUAAUUUAAUAAAUUAAUUUUAUUAUUUUUUUUAUUAAUUAUUUUAUUUUGUUGGGGUGACAUUAAAAUUUAAUUAACUUUUAAUUUAAAUUAAACAUUAAUUUAUGAAUUUUUAAUAAUUUAUUAUUAAUUAUUGACCCUAAAUUUUAGGUUAUUAAAUUAAAAUACCUUAGGGAUAACAGCGUAAUUUAUUUGGAGAGAUCAUAUUAAUAAAUAAGUUUGCGACCUCGAUGUUGAAUUAAGAUAAUAUUUAGGUGUAGAUGCUUAAAUUCAUAAGUCUGUUCGACUUUUAAAUUCUUACAUGAUUUGAGUUCAGAUCGGCGUGAGCCAGAUCGGAUUCUAUCCUUAAUAAUUAUAAAAAUAUUUUUGUACGAAAGGACUUUAUAUUUAAAAUAAUUUUAUUUAUUUAUUGGUUAAAGUUAAAUGCUUUAUUAAUAGCACAUAUUU
rnacentral:rRNA from 1 species